GUGAAGGGGCCACGGCCAAGAAGGGAUUUUUGAUGGAUGGAUUGGUGCAGUCUCCUGGGGAUGGAGCCCUGGUUGUGGCCUGGCAGUGCCUGGAGCUGAGGAGUGCUGGAUAACCCCAGAGCUUGUGCAGCCAGGCUGCUGCAGUGCCUGACAGCAAAGUCCCCGGGACAGACCCUGACCCUCUGAGAGGAGGAGAGAGGAGGACUCAGCCCACCUGCCCCAGCUCCCCUGCCUGGUGCCAGCUGACCUGCUGGGGUCCCGGAGGAGCUGCAGCU
rnacentral:lncRNA from 1 species